UACGAAACAAUUUGGCUAAGUGUUAAAGGAGUAUAUAAGACACACAUUUAGAUGUGAAUUCAUUGUACUGAAAACUAAGAAGUUAAAAUGUUUUUCAAAGUCCUAUAUUUUUUCCUGAUGCUGGCAGUCGCAGCCUUCGCGGUGCCAACUUUACCAGCUGCAGUUCCAAGCGAUCCUCUCGUGAAUGUGGAAGCUCCAGUCCAAGCCGUUUUUUCCAAAUACGGCUCUGAUGUCAGUAACGCACCUCAUAAUGGAGUCGUACCCUCAGAUGUGCCAACUUGGUAAUCAAAGUGUUUAUGUGAAACUUUAAAUACAAUUUUUAUUUUGUCAAUAUAUAAUGUUUAAAAGUU